UAGGGAAUCUUCGGCAAUGGGGGGAACCCUGACCGAGCAACGCCGCGUGAGUGAAGAAGGUUUUCGGAUCGUAAAGCUCUGUUGUUAAGGAAGAACGAGUGUGAGAAUGGAAAGUUCAUGCUGUGACGGUACUUAACCAGAAAGGGACGGCUAACUACGUGCCAGCAGCCGCGGUAAUACGUAGGUCCCGAGCGUUGUCCGGAUUUAUUGGGCGUAAAGCGAGCGCAGGCGGUUAGAAAAGUCUGAAGUGAAAGGCAGUGGCUCAACUAUUGUAGGCUUUGGAAACUGUUUAACUUGAGUGCAGAAGGGGAGAGUGGAAUUCCAUGUGUAGCGGUGAAAUGCGUAGAUAUAUGGAGGAACACCGGUGGCGAAAGCGGCUCUCUGGUCUGUAACUGACGCUGAGGCUCGAAAGCGUGGGGAGCGAACAGG
rnacentral:rRNA from 2 species